UGGGGGAUAUCGCACAAUGGGCGAAAGCCUGAUGCAGCGACGCCGCGUGGGGGAUGAAGGCCUUCGGGUUGUAAACUUCUUUUGCUCUGAACAAGGCAUGCCUUUGGGGUGUGUUGAGUGUAGGGGUUGAUUAGCGCCGGCUAACUACGUGCCAGCAGCCGCGGUAAUACGUAGGGCGCGAGCGUUGUCCGGAAUUAUUGGGCGUAAAGGGCUUGUAGGUGGCUGGUUGCGUCUGUCGUGAAAGCUCAUGGCUUAACUGUGGGUUUGCGGUGGGUACGGGCUGGCUUGAGUGCAGUAGGGGAGGCUGGAAUUCCUGGUGUAGCGGUGGAAUGCGCAGAUAUCAGGAGGAAUACCGGUGGCGAAGGCGGGUCUCUGGGCUGUUACUGACGCUGAGGAGCGAAAGCGUGGGGAGCGAACAGG
rnacentral:rRNA from 1 species